rnacentral:rRNA from 1 species
GAUGAACGCUGGCGGCGUGCCUAAUACAUGCAAGUCGAGCGAACAGACGAGGAGCUUGCUCCUCUGACGUUAGCGGCGGACGGGUGAGUAACACGUGGAUAACCUACCUAUAAGACUGGGAUAACUUCGGGAAACCGGAGCUAAUACCGGAUAAUAUAUUGAACCGCAUGGUUCAAUAGUGAAAGACGGUUUUGCUGUCACUUAUAGAUGGAUCCGCGCCGCAUUAGCUAGUUGGUAAGGUAACGGCUUACCAAGGCGACGAUGCGUAGCCGACCUGAGAGGGUGAUCGGCCACACUGGAACUGAGAUACGGUCCAGACUCCUACGGGAGGCAGCAGUAGGGAAUCUUCCGCAAUGGGCGAAAGCCUGACGGAGCAACGCCGCGUGAGUGAUGAAGGUCUUCGGAUCGUAAAACUCUGUUAUUGGGGAAGAACAAAUGUGUAAGUAACUAUGCACGUCUUGACGGUACCUAAUCAGAAAGCCACGGCUAACUACGUG